rnacentral:rRNA from 1 species
AGCGAACGCUGGCGGCAGGCUUAACACAUGCAAGUCGAGCGGGCACUUUCGGGUGUCAGCGGCGGACGGGUGAGUAACGCGUGGGAACGUGCCCUCUGGUUCGGAAUAACUCAGGGAAACUUGAGCUAAUACCGGAUACGCCCUUUUGGGGAAAGGCUUGCUGCCGGAGGAUCGGCCCGCGUCUGAUUAGCUAGUUGGUGGGGUAACGGCUCACCAAGGCGACGAUCAGUAGCUGGUCUGAGAGGAUGAUCAGCCACACUGGGACUGAGACACGGCCCAGACUCCUACGGGAGGCAGCAGUGGGGAAUAUUGGACAAUGGGCGCAAGCCUGAUCCAGCCAUGCCGCGUGAGUGAUCAAGGCCUUAGGGUUGUAAAGCUCUUUUAUCCGGGACGAUAAUGACGGUACCGGAGGAAUAAGCCCCGGCUAACUUCGUG